UGCACCUCAUUGCUGUAUUAUUGUGUAACCCCCGUCAGUGUUGCUUCAGUUUUACAGCCCUCUUCAAGUUUCCUUUGAGUUUUUCCUGACAUUGAUUCUCCUGUCCUUGUGCUAGAUUCUGAGGAUUUGUUACUGUGACCCUGUCGUAAGUGUGCCAUUCAGAGGGGAACCGGUGGAUUUCUGAUCAAUGUCCUGUUGCAUAACCCAAGUGUGACAUUCCUAGUUAUGACAAGUCAUCUAGUUUCUGAAGCACCCUCCUACUACUACCACCAUGUUUCACUGAUGCACAGUGACAUCUGCUGACCAGGCGUGAAACAACACAUUGAGGAAACUAUCAAAAUUUACACUUUUCAUGUAGCUGCACACAAAAAGCACCUUUGCUUUCUUCAGUGUCAGGCGGACCAGCAGGUGACAGAGCAGGAAGGAUGGCGAGAGGAAGAGGAGCACCAGGUGUGUGGCAUGGUGACCUGAGCAGCAUGAGAGAUCACCUCUGAAAAACAUCAAUAAUGAGAAAAAUACAGGAAUUCAAAGCAUUAGGUGACUGAACCGUGAAGGAAAAGACACUGGCUGCAUGUGCACCCACAUAUUUGCAGGACACAAGUGCCAUCAGGUGAUUAAACUCCUUAAAGCACUUUAAGGAUCUCAGAGGUUUCCUUCAGCAAACCUCAAGCACUAAAUGUUGAUAACAUGUUGUCAACCACGAAAGUCGAUGUCAUUACUUUUUGUGGAUUGUGUGCAUAGCCCAUUUCUUUAUGCCCUCUAUACAAUAUCCUUUCACAGCCCAUAUAUCACUGCCUGAAAUGUAAUAACACCUGUCAACAGUUGAUCCCUCACUUCA